GCGCCCUGGAACACUCGGGGGCGCCGCGGGACCCAGAAUUCCCGGGGCCAUGGGAGAGACCAUCGGCUCUAACGGAGGGGGGCGUCCCGGGGUGGUGGGGCGGAGUCUGUGUCGUCAAACGGGCAGGAAGUUCCCGUGAGUCUUUGCCAGGAUUACCCUCCCUUCUGUGAGGAAUGGAAUGUUCCGAGUCCUUAAAGGCCCGGGACGCCACAGAAGCGACCUUUCUAUUAUCAUGAUAAUGGAGGUAAGUGGUGUUUGUAGUUGGGGACCAGUAGCAGGCGGCAAAGGCGAAGGAGCUAAAAGCUUCUUAAUUCCUGGGAAGAAGUUCUCGGGAAGCUUCAGUGGGGGGCGCAAGGCGGCUCCCUGUGGCGCGUCUCCGGCCUUCGGGGCGGCGGUGGGGAGAGUCGCGUGGGGCCUAAGAGGGCCGAGGCUCAAGGCCCGCGCGCGUGUCUGUCCCCCUGCGGUCCCCGAAGGCCGGGCCCCCGUUCCCCGGACCCGGCGUGGGAGGUGCGCCAACCCCGGAGGACUGGUCGCCGAAGCCUCCACGGUGUAG
rnacentral:lncRNA from 1 species